AACUCUGGUGAAAUGUGAAAUGUCCCCCAAAGGGAGUGGCACUAUUAGGAGGUGUGGUUUUGUUGGAGUAGGUGUGACCUUGCUGGAUGAAGUGUGUCACUGGGGGGUGGGCUCUGAGUACUCCCAGUGUCAUAGUCAACUUCCUGUUGCCUUCUAAUCAAGAUGUAGCCAGCACCAAUUCUGCCUGCCUGCCGCCAUGCUCCCCACCAUGAUGAUAAUGGACUGAACCUCUGAAACUCUUCCUGCUUCCUUCCGGCUCCGCUGUUUUCGCACUGCUCACUGAAACACGAGAUGAACUUCCUGUGACAUAAAUCCUACUGCAACCCCACUGGACUCUCCUGAGAGAUGUGCUCCAUCUCUGUGCGCCAUGGGCCUCUGUUUCCACAUGUACAAGAAGCCUGGAUAAAAUCUACCAUGUAGGAUUGAAAUUACUAGCAUAGUGCUUGGUUAUUGGUGGUUAUUAAUAUGAUCUGCAACUUCUCCUCCACAGACUGCAGCCUCCUAGGGAUUAGGGACCAGGUUGUUCAUUUCUAGACCCCCUGAAGCUUGCCGCCUUUCAGCCGAGCAAUACAUGUUUACAGGAUAGCAUGGGAGAGGACCAUUCUGCCUAACUGUGCCUGAGCAUCUGCUGUUCACAGCCCCGUGGAUCUCAGACAGCUUGUAUGAGUGAUCCUUAUUCCGUCCAAGAUGCCAGCCUCCAACUGGCUCCUUUGUUCACCAGGACUUAGAACUGUCAGCAGAGUAAAGGGUGACCUUCACACAGACUCUCCUGCUGCUGCCAUGAGAACAAAGACACAGAAAGAAGAAAAUGAGCAUCUUACUCAGGAACAUUCUAGAAUGUGGCAAUAAGGAUGGGGGAGGGAAACAGUUUCCCGGGCUGGUUCGCAGGGGAACCCUGGCUCAAGGUCUGGUUCUGGGAAUCCAUGGGGUAGAAGUGACUUCUUGCAAAUGGGUCACGCUACUACGCAUAUGGUGCAUGUGGGUGGAACAUAAAUGUGACUUUUGCCUCUUUUCAGAGGUCAGGUUUGUUGAGAGGUUUCAAAUGACCUGGAAAGUCCAUCCAAUGUCUACUCUUAUGGGGUGAGAGGCUAUAACCCUGCAAUGCAGACAUUUAGCCAGAGCUGAGACGACUUACCCCUAGGCCAGGACACCAACCAAACAAGGCCUCACACUCACCCUUGGGGGAAACCAACAAAGCAGUGGCUGUGGGCAGCGGUCAGUUUAGUCACUGGAAAUAAAAGCUUUUGAGCCCGCCUGAGCUACCA